CGACUUAUAUUCUGUAGCAAGGUUAACCGAAUAGGGGAGCCGAAGGGAAACCGAGUCUUAACUGGGCGUUAAGUUGCAGGGUAUAGACCCGAAACCCGGUGAUCUAGCCAUGGGCAGGUUGAAGGUUGGGUAACACUAACUGGAGGACCGAACCGACUAAUGUUGAAAAAUUAGCGGAUGACUUGUGGCUGGGGGUGAAAGGCCAAUCAAACCGGGAGAUAGCUGGUUCUCCCCGAAAGCUAUUUAGGUAGCGCCUCGUGAAUUCAUCUCCGGGGGUAGAGCACUGUUUCGGCAAGGGGGUCAUCCCGACUUACCAACCCGAUGCAAACUGCGAAUACCGGAGAAUGUUAUCACGGGAGACACACGGCGGGUGCUAACGUCCGUCGUGAAGAGGGAAACAACCCAGACCGCCAGCUAAGGUCCCAAAGUCAUGGUUAAGUGGGAAACGAUGUGGGAAGGCCCAGACAGCCAGGAUGUUGGCUUAGAAGCAGCCAUCAUUUAAAGAAAGCGUAAUAGCUCACUGGUCGAGUCGGCCUGCGCGGAAGAUGUAACGGGGCUAAACCAUGCACCGAAGCUGCGGCAGCGACGCUUAUGCGUUGUUGGGUAGGGGAGCGUUCUGUAAGCCUGCGAAGGUGUGCUGUGAGGCAUGCUGGAGGUAUC
rnacentral:rRNA from 1 species